GGGUCAGUAGGUUGGUCGUGCCACCGGUACGUACUGGUCUCGCUGAUUCCUCCUUCCUGAAGAACCGUAAUGCCAUUAAUUUGGUGUUGCGGGGAAACAGGACUGUUACUUUGAAAAAAUUAGAGUGUUUAAAGCAAGCUAAUGCUUGAAUACAUUAGCAUGGAAUAAUGAAAUAGGACGAUCGAUCCUAUUUUGUUGGUUUCUAGGAUUGACGUA
rnacentral:rRNA from 1 species